UACGUAGGUGGCAAGCGAUACUCGGAAUCACUAGGCGUAAAGCGCAGGUAGGCGGCUCGAUAAGUCUCUUGUGAAAGCUCCCGGCUCAACUGGGAGAGGUCAAGGGAAACUGUUGGGCUAGAGUGUGGUAGAGGAAGCUGGAAUUCCCGGUGUAGCGGUGAAAUGCGUAGAUAUCAGGAGGAACACCUGUGGUGUAGACAGCUUACUGGACCAUUUCUGACGCUGAGACACGAAAGCGUGGGUAGCAAACAGG
rnacentral:rRNA from 1 species